rnacentral:rRNA from 1 species
GACGAACGCUGGCGGCGUGCCUAAUACAUGCAAGUAGAACGAGUGGCGGACGGGUGAGUAAUGUCUGGGAAACUGCCCGAUGGAGGGGGAUAACUUCUGGAAACGGUAGCUAAUACCGCAUACCAUCGGAUGUGCCCAGAUGGGAUUAGCUAUUAGGUGGGGUAACGGCUCACCUAGGCGACCAUCACUAGCUGGUCUGAGAGGAUUACCAGCCACACUGGAACUGAGACGCGGUACAGACUCCUACGGGAUGCAGCAGUGGGGAAUAUUGCACAAUGGGCGCAAGCCUGAUGCAGCCAUGCCGCGUGUAUGAAGAAGGCCUUCGGGUUGUAAAGUACUUUCAGCGGGGAGGCGUUACUCGCAGAAGAAGCACCGGCUAACUCCGUGCCAGCAGCCGCGGUAAUUA